GGCUUAACACAUGCAAGUCGAGGGGCAUCAGGAAGAAAGCUUGCUUUCUUUGCUGGCGACCGGCGCACGGGUGAGUAACACGUAUCCAACCUGCCCUUUACUCGGGGAUAGCCUUUCGAAAGAAAGAUUAAUACCCGAUAGCAUAAUGAUUCCGCAUGGUUUCAUUAUUAAAGGAUUCCGGUAAAGGAUGGGGAUGCGUUCCAUUAGGUUGUUGGUGAGGUAACGGCCCACCAAGCCUUCGAUGGAUAGGGGUUCUGAGAGGAAGGUCCCCCACAUUGGAACUGAGACACGGUCCAAACUCCUACGGGAGGCAGCAGUGAGGAAUAUUGGUCAAUGGGCGCUAGCCUGAACCAGCCAAGUAGCGUGAAGGAUGAAGGCUCUAUGGGUCGUAAACUUCUUUUAUAUAAGAAUAAAGUGCAGUAUGUAUACUGUUUUGUAUGUAUUAUAUGAAUAAGGAUCGGCUAACUCCGUGCCAGCAGCCGCGGUAAUACGGAGGAUCCGAGCGUUAUCCGGAUUUAUUGGGUUUAAAGGGAGCGUAGGUGGACUGGUAAGUCAGUUGUGAAAGUUUGCGGCUCAACCGUAAAAUUGCAGUUGAUACUGUCAGUCUUGAGUACAGUAGAGGUGGGCGGAAUUCGUGGUGUAGCGGUGAAAUGCUUAGAUAUCACGAAGAACUCCGAUUGCGAAGGCAGCUCACUGGACUGCAACUGACACUGAUGCUCGAAAGUGUGGGUAUCAAACAGGAUUAGAUACCCUGGUAGUCCACACAGUAAACGAUGAAUACUCGCUGUUUGCGAUAUACAGUAAGCGGCCAAGCGAAAGCAUUAAGUAUUCCACCUGGGGAGUACGCCGGCAACGGUGAAACUCAAAGGAAUUGACGGGGGCCCGCACAAGCGGAGGAACAUGUGGUUUAAUUCGAUGAUACGCGAGGAACCUUACCCGGGCUUAAAUUGCAGUGGAAUGAUGUGGAAACAUGUCAGUGAGCAAUCACCGCUGUGAAGGUGCUGCAUGGUUGUCGUCAGCUCGUGCCGUGAGGUGUCGGCUUAAGUGCCAUAACGAGCGCAACCCUUAUCUUUAGUUACUAACAGGUUAUGCUGAGGACUCUAGAGAGACUGCCGUCGUAAGAUGUGAGGAAGGUGGGGAUGACGUCAAAUCAGCACGGCCCUUACGUCCGGGGCUACACACGUGUUACAAUGGGGGGUACAGAAGGCAGCUAGCGGGUGACCGUAUGCUAAUCCCAAAAUCCUCUCUCAGUUCGGAUCGAAGUCUGCAACCCGACUUCGUGAAGCUGGAUUCGCUAGUAAUCGCGCAUCAGCCACGGCGCGGUGAAUACGUUCCCGGGCCUUGUACACACCGCCCGUCAAGCCAUGGGAGCCGGGGGUACCUGAAGUACGUAACCGCAAGGAUCGUCCUAGGGUAAAACUGGUGACUGGGGCUAAAU
rnacentral:rRNA from 1 species